rnacentral:tRNA from 1 species
GCCCUGAUGGCGGAAUUGGCAGACGCGUAGCGUUCAGGUCGCUAUUUUCUUUUGAAAGUGCAGGUUCGACUCCUGUUCAGGGCA